CAAUUUGAGAGUGUUUUUCCUUUUUCCAUUAUUUAAAUUCAGAGACUCUGUGACCUUUAUAUCUCUGGUAGGAUUCUUCUGUGAAUCAUGUGGGUCUGGUGAUUCUUCUUAAGGAGUAGGAGCAAUGGGAUUUUAAGUGUACAUCUUUGGAGGGUAGACAUAUAUGUGAUUUGGCCUUGCUACUUUCUAACAGUGAUUUUAGGCAAGUUACUUAAACUCUCCUAGUCUCAGUUCAAUCAUAAAAUAAAUAUAAUAAUAGUUAUAACCCAAGAUUGUUUUCAGGAUUGAGAUGAUGUGCUUUGUAAUUGCUAUAUUCUUUACCAUCAUCUAGGACAUUUACACGUUUCUUUUGUCUAGCUCUCUCUUCUCUCUCCUCUAUGCCUAUGUAAUUCCUACUGAUCCUUCCUGUUUCAAUGCUAUCAUCAUUUCUUUAAGAAAUCCAUUUCUUCCUUCCUAGUGAGGUCAAAUCUCUUUAUUAUGUAUUUUAUACAUUUCCUUUGUAGCUCUGAUCACAACUGCAAGAUCACAUUUGUUAAGGAACUAUCUCAUAUCUACCUUCUCGCGUGACUCUAAGCUUGAUGAUGUCAAGGGACAUGUCUGUGUUCAGCACAAAUAAAACUGAGAACCAGAACUCGAUUUAUCUUCCAUUACUUGGGACUGUGACACUUUGAGAGGAGAUGUUCUGGGAAGAGCAAGCCUUUUCUAUGACAACACAUUGCUUUCCACUGCACCAGGCUUCUUGGGAAGAGAAAGAAGUGGGCUGCCACCAAGAAGGAGAGGUCUGUCUCUUUAUCAACAAGAUCAACUCCACCGAGGGAGAAAUCUUAUGGUUAUAUCCACCUGAGACACUGACUUAGGAGGUAACUGGCUAUGGCAGGUUUAAAACCUUACUGUGAAUUCUUGGAUACUCUUCCCAUUGAGAGGUGGGAUAUCUGUUUCUUGACCUUAAAUUUGGGAAAGCUUUGGCAAAUAUGAUUCAGUGGAAGUGAUGCUUUGUGACUUUUGAGAAUAACAUAAAAGACCAUGCAGCUUCUGCCUUGUUUGCUGGAAAUGCUCACUCAUGGAAUGCUGAGCUGCUACUAAGAAGUCCAUUUCUCUGAGGUUGCCAUGCUAUAAGGGUCACAUAUAAGCUCUUUAGUAAAAAGUCUAAGUUUAUACCCUUCUUUAGCUACCCUAAUCCAGGAUCCAGAUAUAUGAAACAAGAUUCUAUUUUGCAAGUAGACUCUCCAGCCUCAGACGAACCAGACUUCAGAUAUUCAAG
rnacentral:lncRNA from 12 species